UAAAGCAAAGAAGAGCGCAGAGUGAAUGCCUUGGCAUUGAGAGCCGAAGAAGGACGUGGUUAACUGCGAUAAGCAGCGGGGAGUUGUAAGCAAGCAUUGAUCCGCUGAUUUCCGAAUGGAGCAAUCCGCAUGAAGUAGUUCAUGCAUCCAUAUGUGAAUCAAUAGCAUAUGGAGGGGAACCGCCUGAACUGAAACAUCUAAGUAGGGCGAGGAAGAGAAAUCAACCGAGAUUCCGUAAGUAGUGGCGAGCGAACGCGGAAGAGGCCAAACCGAGAGAAGAAAUUCUUUCGGGGUUCGGACUGCAUUUAGUAUUCCUGAUCUUUAGUCGAACAGUCUGGGAAGGCUGACGAGAGAGUGUGAGAGUCACGUAGACGAAAAGGAGAAGGAGCGAGCAGGAUCCAGAGUACCGCGGGGCACGUGAAAUCCCGUGGGAAGAUGGGGGGACCACCCUCCAAGCCUAAAUACUACUCAAUGACCGAUAGCGUAUAGUACUGUGAAGGAACGGUGAAAAGAACCCCGGGAGGGGAGUGAAAAGAACCUGAAACUCUGUGCUUACAAGCACAUAGAGCACGUCAAUGUGUGAUAUGGUACCUUUUGUAGAAUGGUCCGGCGAGUUAUGGUAUGCAGCAUGGUUAAGGACUUGAGGUCUGAAGCCGAAGCGAGAGCGAGUCUGACAAGGGCGAUAAGUUGUAUGCCAUAGACCCGAAACCGGGUGACCUAGCCAUGUCCAGGCUGAAGUGGAGGUAAAACUCCAUGGAGGGCCGAACCGACCUCCGUUGAAAAGGCGGCGGAUGAGAUGUGGCUAGCGGAGAAAUUCCAAUCGAACCCGGAUAUAGCUGGUUCUCCCCGAAAUAGCUUUAGGGCUAGCGUUGUAUUAGAUUACCGGAGGUAAAGCACUGAAUGGGCUAGGGGCUGAGAAGUUACUGAACCCUAUCAAACUAAGAAUGCCGGAUAAUUGAUGUACAGCAGUCAGACUAUGUGAGAUAAGUCUCAUAGUCAAAAGGGAAACAGCCCAGACCCACAGCUAAGGUCCCAAAAUGGAUUUAAGUGGAAAAGGAUGUGGAAUUGCACAGACAACCAGGAUGUUGGCUUAGAAGCAGCCACUCAUUAAAAGAGUGCGUAAUAGCUCACUGGUCGAGUGACUCUGCGCCGAAAAUUCAACGGGGCUAAAAUUCAUACCGAAGCUUGGGCUUGACAGUAAUGUCAGGGGUAGGGGAGCGUCGUAUACGAGGUGAAGUCAUAGCGGAAGCGGUGGUGGAUUGUAUACGAGUGAGAAUGCCGGAAUGAGUAGCGAGAAUUAUGUGAGAAUCAUAAUGGCCGAAAGUCUAAGGUUUCCUGAGGAAGGUUCGUCCUCUCAGGGUUAGCCGGGAGCUAAGGUGAGGCGGAAACGCGUAGCCGAUGCACAUACGGUAGAAAUUCCGUAGCCUCCGAAGAUUUAAGCACAGGGACACUUUUGAAGGGCUGAGCCGGGCGUUGGUUGCCCCGGUCGAAAGGGACACGAUUGAGUGGAAGUCAGUUUGGAAAGAGGCGAGAAAAGCUGUGUGUAUAUGGAAGGAGCCCGUACCGCAAACCGACACAGGUAGACAGGAAGAAGAUUCUAAGGCCAGCGGGAGAAGGGUUGUUAAGGAACUCGGCAAGUUGACCCCGUAACUUCGGGAGAAGGGGUGCUUACGAAGGUAAGCCGCAGAGAAUAGGCCCAAGCGACUGUUUAGCAAAAACACAGCUCUAUGCUAAAUCGAAAGAUGACGUAUAUGGGGUGACACCUGCCCGGUGCUGGAAGGUUAAGAGGAGAUGUGAGAGCAUUGAAUUGAAGCCCCAGUAAACGGCGGCCGUAACUAUAACGGUCCUAAGGUAGCGAAAUUCCUUGUCAGGUAAGUUCUGACCC
rnacentral:rRNA from 1 species